UACGUAGGGGGCUAGCGUUGUCCGGAUUUAUUGGGCGUAAAGAGCGUGUAGGCGGCCAGAUAGGUCUGCUGUGAAAACUCGAGGCUCAACCUCGAGAUGUCGGCGGAAACCAUUUGGCUAGAGUCCGGAAGAGGAAAGUGGAAUUCCUGGUGUAGCGGUGAAAUGCGCAGAUAUCGAGAGGAACACCUGCGGCGAAGGCGGGUUGCUGGGCUGACACUGACGCUGAUGCGCGAAAGCCAGGGGAGCGAACGGG
rnacentral:rRNA from 1 species